rnacentral:rRNA from 1 species
AGAAUCAACGCUGGCGGCGUGCCUAACACAUGCAAGUCGAACGAGAAAGUGGAGCAAUCCAUGAGUACAGUGGCGUACGGGUGAGUAACACGUGACUAACCUACCCUCGAGUGGGGAAUAACCUCGGGAAACCGGGGCUAAUACCGCAUAACAUCUACGGAUCAAAUGCGUAAGCAGCUUGAGGAGGGGGUCGCGGCUGAUUAGCUAGUUGGCGGGGUAAUGGCCCACCAAGGCGGUGAUCAGUA